CCAGCUGACCUCUUAUGGCCUUGGCAAAGAUAAGGGACUGUGCUUUAAAAGCAUCUGUUGCUAAUGUAUCCACAGAAGCCACUAACAGUGUAAAGAGAAAGCUGAGUUACAACAAGCAGAGUCCAUGAAGGAAGCUUCGCAGCUCUUGCCUGGGAUGUAGCGAAUGCUGCCAAAUCCUCUUGUAAAAAACGAGGGAAGUAAAGGAUGAGUAAGAGGGUCACACCCUCCAUCACUCCAACUUCUAUAAUUAGUCUCCAUCCACUCUGUCCUGUGUACAUGUGAUUGCACAAAUGAGUCCUCAAAGCAAAAUAAGCUUGUGGGUCCUUCUAACCUGUUAAUCUGUUAAAAGAUGACAGAGAAGAAAAAGCAAAAGAUAUCAAAGGGGAUUUGCAGUAACUCUUUAUAGAGAAAGACCAUACCAGUGAAAUAGAGAUAAUUUAAAGACAGAGAGAAAUUGAAAGGAAAGAGAUGAGAGGGAGAAAGAAAGUGACACCUGCAGCACUACUUCACCACUCAUGAAACUUUCUACUUAGGAGCUUGAAUCUAAGUCCCUGUAUAUGCCUAUGUUUCUCCCAGUCUUGGAACCUCUGGGAUGGGGCUCACUUCCAUCCAUGCUUCUCUCAAAUCAGUCCAAAUGAUAUUGCAUCCACUGAUUCCAACCUAAUCAAUGCAACGAGUAUCAUCUCAGCAUGCUUCACCUCACACUGUGUACAGAGACAUCAGGCAUGGAUUGUCAAUCCUUCACCCUCAUCACUCUGCCACCAGUUUCCAGAUGCAAGCAGGAUAUGACCAAACUUCCCUGGGCAGACAACCUCACCAAUGUGCCUUGGAGCUCUGCUUCCCCAGAGCCCUUCGCCACUAGGGAAAGAGAGAGACAGGCUGGGAGUAUGGAUUGACCUGUCAAUGCCCAUGUUCAGCAGGGAAUCAAUUACAGAAGCCAGACCUUCAACCUUCUGCAUCCCACAAGGAUCUUGGGUCCAUACUCCCAGAGGGUUAAAGAAUAAGAAAGCUAACCAACGCAACGAUUGCCACCUCAACAUGCUUCACCUCAGACUGUGUCCAGAGACUUCACGUGUGGAAUGACAACCCUUCAGCUUCAUUACUCGGGUGAGACCUUUCCUUUUAUAGUACACUCUAAUUUCAUCUCAGGUAGUUCACUUUCUAACAAAGUCCCAUAACCUAGAUAUACACCAGUUUCUGUGAGAGAGAGCUUAUGUUCACACGUAUCCAUAAACUACUGCAAAAUAUAUACCUGAAAGCAGAAGUACACUAGAGUUUGCAGUGAGUACCUCCCUAACAUUUCCUCUCCACUAUUCCAAGCUUGGGAUCCAUGAUUGCUCAAAAAAUUGUUUGGCUUCAUAUGUUAACUCUCUUUUCAAUCACCAGGUUCCAGAUGCCACCAGGAUGCUGACCAGGCUUCCCUGGAUUGAAGACCCCACCAAUGUGUCCUGGAGCUCAGCUUCCCCAGAGACACACCCUACUAGGGAAAGAGAGAGGCAGACUGGGAGUAUGGAGCGACCAGUCAACGCCCAUGUUCAGCGGGGAAGCAAUUACAGUAGCCAGACCUUCUACCUUCUGCAACCCUCAACGACCCUGGGUCCAUGCUCCCAGAGGGCUAGAGA